rnacentral:tRNA from 1 species
GCGGAAGUAGCUCAGCUGGUAGAGCGCAACCUUGCCAAGGUUGAGGUCGCGGGUUCGAGCCCCGUUUUCCGCU